rnacentral:lncRNA from 1 species
CCAUGACCCUGCCAAAUCCCCCUCUGUGAGAAACACCCAAGAAUUAUCAAUAAAAAAAUAAAUUAAAAAAAAAAAUAAAUAAAUAAAUCCAGCAAAAAUAAAAAUAAAAAAUAAAAUCCCCUUGAAUACAUUUGAGGUAAUGUUGUAGUUUUCAGCUCCUCCCACGAGAGAUUUUAUGGAGUGCCUAACUGUGCUACCCGGGUGCUGCUCCUGUCGUUAGUGGUGGCACCCAGGAGGAAUUAAAAUUACAAGAGUGUUUCCUUCCAGAUGUUGUUGCUACAGGCUCAAGGUGCUCUUUUAACUGGGACAUCAGGCUUUCUUGAAAUAGACAAGAAUUCUAGAAACAUGACAUUGUGCCUGAUUCAUCGCUUCAACUUGCCACUGACUCAUUCUCUCCUUGAUAGGUUAUUCAACAGUAACUUUAAUUACAUCAUUUACUUAUUGUUUUCUUCCUUGAUUUAUUCUCUUUCUACAAUUCUUGUUUAUCAUCUCAGUGAUUGGACCAUCUCACCUCUGAGACUUGGGUAGAAUUCUGUGGACUCUGGAAAUAGACAUGGAGGUUUUCAUGUAUCUCUGUUAAUGUGUACAAACACCCCCAGGCUUGUACACUUGAAAUACAUCAGUAGGAAGGGUAGUUCUCAAUUUGCUAGUGUUUCACACAGCUUGUCUUAUUUAAUGAUCUCAGCUGCCCUAUGAAGUAGAUACCAUCCUAUUAAAAAAUGCAGGAGCAGAGGCUCUGAGAGGGGACUGUAACUUACCCAAGAUCAUGUGGUAGAUUGCAAAACUGGUUCCAAAUCCCUACCCUUCCCUGUACGCACACCUUUUGCCAUUCAUCUGCAAUGUCCUUUUCUGAUUCUGGGCUCAGCAAUAUAACUUGCUCUGGCCAACAGGAUAACAACAGCAAAUGUGAUGUAAGCAAAAGCUUGAGAAAUACUUGUGCAACUAAUCAUGUUUGCCUUCUCUCUUGUACCUGUGCCAUUGCCAUGAGAACAUGCCUGGGCUAGGAUUAGAGACACUUGGAGCAGAGCUGAGUCAUCCCAGCUGUCCCAGUUGAGGCCAGCCUAGGUCAGUCGAUGGCAACCAAGCCCUAAGCAUGUUAGUGAGCCCAGCCAUGAUCAGCACAACCACCUAGCCAACCAUCCCAGACCUGUGAUCAAUAAAGCCUUACUAUUCCAUACCACCUAGGUUUUGUGAUUAUUUAUUUCACAGAAUUAUUAUGGCAGUAUGUAACUGAUAGAAGCGGUGUACAGGGAAGAGUAUUUGUUAGUCCGUUUUCACACUGCUGAUAAAGACAUAUGCGAGACUGAGCAAUUUACAAAAGAAAGAGGUUUAAUGGACUUACAGUUCCACGUGGCUGGGGAAGCCUCACAAUUGUGGUGAAAGGUGAAAGUCACAUCUCACAUGGCAGCAGACAAGAGAAGAAGAGCUUGUGCAGGGAAACUCCCCUUUUAAAAACCAUCAGAUCUCAUGAUACUUAUUCACUAUCAUCAGAAUAGCCUGGGAAAGACCUGUCCCCAUGAUUCAGUUACUUCCCACCGUGUCACUCCCACAACAAGUGGGAAUUCAAGAUGAGAUUUGGGUAGGGACACAGCAAAACCAUAUUAGAGCAGAUCUCUGGAAUUGGGCAGGCCAAGGUUUGAAUCCCAUCUGUUAUUUGGAGUGUGUGUUUCUUUUUGAGACUAAUCUCCUUACCCUUGAAAUGAGGUAAUAUACUUCCCUCAUAGGGUUGCUGGGAAGAUUAAACACGAGGUGAAGUAAAUAAAGCCCCAGGGACAUAAGCAAAAAAUAAUGGCUUCUCACAGCAAUGCUCCAGAACAUACAACAAGGGAAUACUGGGCCCAGUCCCAGGACUAUCCAAGUGUGAAGCCAACACCUUUUCACAUCAACUCCAAGUUCCAUGGGCUGACUGGACUCCACUGGGAGUUCUUGAUGUCUCUCGUGUGGUUGUGUGAGAUAGUGGCUGGGACUGGACUCAUCUGAAGGCUUGACUGGGCUGGAUGCCCAAGAUAGCCCACUUUUAGACAGAGGUGGCUGGCAGUUGAUGCUGACUGUCAGCUGGGGACUCAGCUGAGAGUGUUAACUGGAGUCCCUAGACGUGGCUUCUCCACAUGGCUUGGGCUUCUCAUGGAAGGGCACCUGGAUUCUGAGAGAGAGCAUCCCAAGAGACACAAGUGGAAAUGAUAAGGCUUCUUAUGACGUAGACUGGAGGUACUGAGACAUCACUUUUGCUACAUUAGAAGGUUAGAUGCUGACAUUUUAUGAUUUCACAACUUGGAUCCUCUGUCCUCUGAUACUGAAUCAGAUAGUAGUUUAUGGAGCUGAGCAGAGAGCCAGCUGGUCCUGGGCACAGAGGAGGCUGUGUUCCAUGCUGAAGACAAGAACAUAUGGUGGACGUACCAUCCUAACUAUCUGGGAAGGGAGCUUCGUGGCUACAUGGGAGUUAUCAUCUGCCAGUGCCGGCUGCAUCCUGGCUGUGCCCACCUCUGGACUCUGAAUCUCUGCACCUCAGUACCCCCAACCCCAACACGACUGUGAUGUUAGGCAUAUAUUAGGCAUGUGAAGAUGAGAAAGAGAAGAUACAGCUCCCAUGUUUAUCUCCAUGAGAAGAUAAGCCACAGGGAGAGAGAAAGACUGUUGUGCACGAGAGGGAGUGUCAAAUGCCAAAUGGAUGUCAGCAGUCGGGGUGUGCUAGAGGCACUCAGGGGAAGGGAGGCUGGGCAUAGAGGGUCAUGCUGGAGGAGGUGACUCUGGAUCUGAAUCUUGAAAGCCUCGGCAACACGAGCAAAACUCUGUCUCAAAAAAAGAGGCUUCAGAGAGCUGCCUGGCCCUUCUCAUCCUUCUGCCAUGUGAAGACAUAGCGUGCAUCCCCUCUGGAGGGUAUAGGAACAAGGUGUCAUCUUGGAAGGAGAGAGCAAGCCCUCACCAGACACCAAAUCUACCGGCACCUUGACCUCCAGAACUUGCAGUUCCUGUUCUCCUGGCUGGACCCUGACUGAUGCCAUGGGGAAAGCCCUCGGGCUCGUGGACCUUAAAUUCCAGGUCCUGUUGUGCCCAACUCAUGAUUUAUCCAGGUCACACCAGUCUGGUCUGUCACAGUAAGAGGGCACCAUCACAUACACUAUAAUAUGAAUCAUGACCCCCGGAGUUGUGUGGAGUUUCUGCAUCUCUCCCUCCCCACUGUGGCUACCCUCAUCCAGCAACCAUCCUGUCUCUCACCGGUAUUACCGCAGCUGAGACCCAGGUCUUAAGGAAGCUGAGACCCAGGCCAGCAGGGGCCUCACAGCUUGGAAAAAGAGGAGGGUGUAAGACUCUGGAUGAAGCUGAGAGAUCCUUCCAUGCUUGGCUGAGAGACUACACAGACAUGAGCUUCAGGAGACUCCAAAGCCUCGGAUCCCCUUCUAAACUAGCACUGAAUUCUGAUUGGCUGUCUUUGCCUGCCUCAGUUUGUUCCUUUUACUGAUUGGCUAGGUUCUUCUGCCCAUGGCAGAGCCCUGCUCCAGCCACCGGAUCCUCCCACCUGCCACAGUGUCACCUGGGAUUGGCUGGGCUCUGAAAGGCCAGGCUGGCUUGACUCUUGCCAUCAUCAGAUUCUUCCUCAUUAAACAAAUGAAUCACAAUCCUAAUUAAUUUGAGCAACAGAAUUUAUGUAACUACUCCCAGCAGGAUGUCUGCUCUCAGUCAGCAGAGAGAUUACUUCCUCUCUCUGGGAAAUUCCAGCCUUGCUGGUCAAUAAGCCUUAAUGAUGACUGAAAUCUCCCAUCUGUCUCUGCUCAGGGCAGGUAACCCCUACUAAGCAGACACCCAGUUGGCUCGAGGCAGUACCCCGGGCACCGGCAGGACAAGGACAACGAUCUCCCAGCCUAGAUGUGUCCUGAGCCACAUGGAGCACACAGAUUACAGGAUCUGACUCCCAUUUGGGCCUUCCACCUCCGCUGGCCUAAGCAGUCAAGUGUCAGAGAGCACUGGACCUAACAGCUCCCUCACCAGAGCAGCUGUGAUUCCUUCUUCAUUUCCAGCAGGGAAGACCCAACAACUUUUAUAAUAUGGGAUUUCUUUUAUUCUCAUGAUAAUAAUGUUCAUUGUGGAAAAUAAAAAAAAAUGAUAAAAUAAAAAUCAGCCAGAAUUCCAACUUCUGGAGAUUUUGGUGUCUUUCUGCAAAGUUCCUAUGCACAUAGAUACUUUAUAAAAUUAUGAACAUACUGUACAUACAGUUUUGGAAUAUGCCUUUUUCCUUCUGUCAUGAAAAAGUCUUCA